GAUAAACGCUGGCGGCGUGCAUGAGACAUGCAAGUCAUACGGGCGAGCUUGCUCGCUAGUGGCGGACGGCUGAGUAACGCGUAGGUGACCUACCCCGAAGUGGGGAAUAACUGCCCGAAAGGGUGGCUAAUACCGCAUGUGAUGGUUCGUUCGUUCGGAUCAUCAAAGCAGCGAUGCGCUUCGGGAGGGGCCUGCGUCCGAUUAGCUCGUUGGUGGGGUAACGGCUCACCAAGGCGACGAUCGGUAGGUGGUCUGAGAGGACGAUCACCC
rnacentral:rRNA from 1 species